rnacentral:rRNA from 1 species
AACGAACGCUGGCGGCAGGCCUAAAACAUGCAAGUCGAACGGGUGUAGCAAUACAUCAGUGGCGCACGGGUGAGUAACGCGUGGGAACGUGCCCUUCAGUACGGGACAACGUCGGGAAACUGACGCUAAUACCGUAUAAUAUCUCCGGAUCAAAGAUUUAUCGCUGAAGGAGCGGCCCGCGUCUGAUUAGCUAGUUGGUGGGGUAAUGGCCUACCAAGGCUACGAUCAGUAGCUGGUCUGAGAGGAUGAUCAGCCACACUGGGACUGAGACACGGCCCAGACUCCUACGGGAGGCAGCAGUUAGGGAUAUUGGACAAUGGGCGAAAGCCUGAUCCAGCCAUGCCGCGUGUGUGAUGAAGGCCCUAGGGUUGUAAAGCACUUUCGUUGGGGAUGAUAAUGACCGUACCCAAAGA